GGGCCCGUAGCUCAGCUGGCUAGAGCGCCUGGCUGGCAGUCAGGAGGUCAGGGGUUCGAUCCCCCUCGGGUCCA
rnacentral:tRNA from 1 species